rnacentral:rRNA from 1 species
UACGUAGGGGGCAAGCGUUGUCCGGAUUUAUUGGGCGUAAAGAGCGUGUAGGCGGCCUGACAGGUCUGCUGUGAAAACUCGAGGCUCAACCUCGAGAUGUCGGCGGAAACCGUCUGGCUAGAGUCCGGAAGAGGAGAGUGGAAUUCCUGGUGUAGCGGUGAAAUGCGCAGAUAUCAGGAAGAACACCUAUGGCGAAGGCAAUCCCCUGGACCUGUACUGACGCUCAUGCACGAAAGCGUGGGGAGCAAACAGG